rnacentral:rRNA from 1 species
GGGGGGGGGGGGGGGGGGGGGGGGGGGGGGGGGGGCGGGGGGGCGCUGCGGGGGGGGCGGCGGACGGGGGGGUAAGGCGUGGGGACGUGCCCUUUUCUACGGAAUAGCCUCGGGAAACUGAGAGUAAUACCGUAUACGCCCUGUGGGGGAACGAUUUAUCGGAAAAGGAUCGGCCCGCGUUGGAUUAGGUAGUUGGUGGGGUAAUGGCCUACCAAGCCGACGAUCCAUAGCUGGUUUGAGAGGAUGAUCAGCCACACUGGGACUGAGACACGGCCCAGACUCCUACGGGAGGCAGCAGUGGGGAAUCUUAGACAAUGGGGGCAACCCUGAUCUAGCCAUGCCGCGUGAGUGAUGAAGGCCUUAGGGUUGUAAAGCUCUUUCAGCUGGGAAGAUAAUGACGGUACCAGCAGAAGAAGCCCCGGCUAACUCCGUG